UUCACGGAUUUUUUUUCAGUUAUGAAAAACAUGGGGUGGGGUGCCAAAAAAAGAGUAGAACUAAUAAUCUUCAUCAUAUUGUGUUUUUAGGAUAUCAUCGAACGUUGGUACUACGCGAACAAUAAAGAGACUGAGUGCAUGCUUUUUAACUCCUGUUCGUCUGUCCGUUUGUACGUUAUAUAUUUCUUUCUCAUUUUCCUCGGC
rnacentral:lncRNA from 1 species